rnacentral:lncRNA from 1 species
CUUUUGAAACAUGGCUAGAGGCAACUGUCAGUGGAAGUUAAAGAUGUGCCAAGAAAUGAAGGGAUGAGGUAGUCAUCACACUAAAAAUAAUAAAAGCAGUUAGAGUCAGGGAAGACUGAAAUGCCCAUCUGUGCCCGAUGCCAGCAACGGUCAGCGGUCAGGGGAAGAGAUGGAGAGCUGGUAGCUGGACUGGAAACUCAGGUUGAUCUUGAGAAUUCCUGCCAUCCCACCCUGGUCCCAGCUUCCUGGAGAAAGUGUUUUAGACACCUUUUAUGAAGUAGAAGGAAGGAGGAAGCACAGCUCUCGGAUGCCCUGUUUCUGAGCUCUGCAACCUUUAACCUUGGAUGGAAAAGGGCCGUGCAGAAGGGAUGACCACAGCCUCCUGAUGUGACCGUGACUGGACAACACCAGGG